rnacentral:rRNA from 1 species
GGUUAAGUGACUAAGCGUACACGGUGGAUGCCUGGGCAGUCAGAGGCGAUGAAGGACGUACUAACUUGCGAUAAGCGCAGAUAAGGCAGUAAGAGCCGUUUGAGUCUGCGAUUUCCGAAUGGGGAAACCCAACUGCAUAAGCAGUUACUGUUAACUGAAUACAUAGGUUAACAGAGCAAACCGGGGGAACUGAAACAUCUAAGUACCCCGAGGAGAAGAAAUCAACCGAGAUUCCGGUAGUAGCGGCGAGCGAACCUGGAUUAGCCCUUAAGCACUCGGUGAAGUAGGUGAACAAGCUGGAAAGCUUGGCGAUACAGGGUGAUAGCCCCGUAACCGACGCUUCAUCGAGCGUGAAAUCGAGUAGGGCGGGACACGUGAUAUCCUGUCUGAAUAUGGGGGGACCAUCCUCCAAGGCUAAAUACUCCUGACUGACCGAUAGUGAACCAGUACCGUGAGGGAAAGGCGAAAAGAACCCCUGUGAGGGGAGUGAAAUAGAACCUGAAACCGUGUACGUACAAGCAGUAGGAGCACCUUCGUGGUGUGACUGCGUACCUUUUGUAUAAUGGGUCAGCGACUUAUAUUCAGUGGCAAGGUUAACCGUAUAGGGGAGCCGUAGCGAAAGCGAGUCUUAACUGGGCGCUCAGUCUCUGGAUAUAGACCCGAAACCGGGUGAUCUAGCCAUGGGCAGGUUGAAGGUUGAGUAACAUCAACUGGAGGACCGAACCGACUAAUGUUGAAAAAUUAGCGGAUGACUUGUGGCUAGGGGUGAAAGGCCAAUCAAACUCGGAGAUAGCUGGUUCUCCCCGAAAGCUAUUUAGGUAGCGCCUCGGACGAAUACUACUGGGGGUAGAGCACUGUUAAGGCUAGGGGGUCAUCCCGACUUACCAACCCUUUGCAAACUCCGAAUACCAGUAAGUACUAUCCGGGAGACACACGGCGGGUGCUAACGUCCGUCGUGGAGAGGGAAACAACCCAGACCGCCAGCUAAGGUCCCAAAGUAUUGCUAAGUGGGAAACGAUGUGGGAAGGCUCAGACAGCUAGGAUGUUGGCUUAGAAGCAGCCAUCAUUUAAAGAAAGCGUAAUAGCUCACUAGUCGAGUCGGCCUGCGCGGAAGAUGUAACGGGGCUAAGCAAUA